GUGCCCAAUGAUUAAGGAAUGACGCGUUAUUGCGAGGACUAAUCUGGCAGGCUAUUCUUUCCACUUGCCAUGCCUUAACUGCCACCACUUAUCAAUUUCUCUUGCCCCUUUCCUUCCCCCCUCUCUCUUCCUUCCCUUCUCCUCCUCCUCCUUCCCCCCCCAACUCUAAUAUAACCUUUAUGGAUAGCUGGCCAGUGUCCUAUGAGCUUGAUUGAAAAAUGAGGGCAG